rnacentral:rRNA from 1 species
GUGGCUGCGACUGUUUAAUAAAAACACAGCACUCUGCAAACACGAAAGUGGACGUAUAGGGUGUGACGCCUGCCCGGUGCCGGAAGAUUAAAUGAUGGGGUGCAAGCUCUUGAUUGAAGUCCCGGUAAACGGCGGCCGUAACUAUAACGGUCCUAAGGUAGCGAAAUUCCUUGUCGGGUAAGUUCCGACCUGCACGAAUGGCGUAACGAUGGCCACACUGUCUCCUCCCGAGACUCAGCGAAGUUGAAGUGUUUGUGAUGAUGCAAUCUCCCCGCGGCUAGACGGAAAGACCCCAUGAACCUUUACUGUAGCUUUGCAUUGGACUUUGAACCGAUCUGUGUAGGAUAGGUGGGAGGCUUUGAAGCGUGGACGCCAGUUCACGUGGAGCCGUCCUUGAAAUACCACCCUGGUUUGUUUGAGGUUCUAACCUUGGCCCGUGAAUCCGGGUCGGGGACAGUGCAUGGUAGGCAGUUUGACUGGGGCGGUCUCCUCCCAAAGUGUAACGGAGGAGUUCGAAGGUACGCUUGGUACGGUCGGACAUCGUACCUAAAGUGCAAUGGCAAAAGCGUGCUUAACUGCGAGACCGACAAGUCGAGCAGGUGCGAAAGCAGGACAUAGUGAUCCGGUGGUUCUGAAUGGAAGGGCCAUCGCUCAACGGAUAAAAGGUACUCUGGGGAUAACAGGCUGAUACCGCCCAAGAGUUCAUAUCGACGGCGGUGUUUGGCACCUCGAUGUCGGCUCAUCUCAUCCUGGGGCUGUAGCCGGUCCCAAGGGUAUGGCUGUUCGCCAUUUAAAGAGGUACGUGAGCUGGGUUUAAAACGUCGUGAGACAGUUUGGUCCCUAUCUGCCGUGGGCGUUGGAAUCUUGACGGGGGCUGCUCCUAGUACGAGAGGACCGGAGUGGACGUACCGCUGGUGUACCUGUUGUCUCGCCAGAGGCAUCGCAGGGUAGCUAUGUACGGAAGAGAUAACCGCUGAAAGCAUCUAAGCGGGAAACUCGCCUGAAGAUGAGGAUUCCCUGGAGGCUUGACCUCCUUGAAGGGUCGUUCGAGACCAGGACGUUGAUAGGCUGGGUGUGGAAGCGCAGUAAUGCGUUAAGCUAACCAGUACUAAUUGCCCGUAAGGCUUGAUCCU